rnacentral:rRNA from 1 species
GACGAACGCUGGCGGCGUGCUUAACACAUGCAAGUCGAGCGGUAAGGCCCUUUCGGGGGUACACGAGCGGCGAACGGGUGAGUAACACGUGGGUGACCUGCCCUCAGCUCUGGGAUAAGCCUGGGAAACCGGGUCUAAUACUGGAUAUGACUCCAUGACGCAUGUUGUGGGGUGGAAAGCCUUGUGCGGCUGAGGAUGGGCCCGCGGCCUAUCAGCUUGUUGGUGGGGUGAGGCCUACCAAGGCGACGACGGGUAGCCGGCCUGAGAGGGCGACCGGCCACACUGGGACUGAGACACGGCCCAGACUCCUACGGGAGGCAGCAGUGGGGAAUCUUGCGCAAUGGGCGAAAGCCUGACGCAGCGACGCCGCGUGAGGGAUGACGGCCUCGGUUGUAACGU